GAAACAGACAACAUGUUAGUCAGGUAGAGAGACGACUCCCCUGGGAAACAGACAACAUGUUAGUCAGGUAGAGAGACGACUCCCCUGGGAAACAGACCACAUGUUAGUCAGGUAGAGAGAGACGACUCCCCUGGGAAACAGACCACAUGUUAGUCAGGUAGAGAGAGACGACUCCCCUGGGAAACAGACAACAUGUUAGUCAGGUAGAGAGAGACGACUCCCCUGGGAAACAGACAACAUGUUAGUCAGAGAGAGAGACGACUCCCCUGGGAAACAGACAACAUGUUAGUCAGGUAGAGAGAGAGACGACUCCCCUGGGAAACAGACAACAUGUUAGUCAGGUAGAGAGAGACGACUCCCCUGGGAAACAGACAACAUGUUAGUCAGAGAGAGAGAGACGACUCCCCUGGGAAACAGACAACAUGUUAGUCAGGUAGAGAGACGACUCCCCUGGGAAACAGACAACAUGUUAGUCAGGUAGAGAGAGACGACUCCCCUGGGAAACAGACAACAUGUUAGUCAGGUAGAGAGACGACUCCCCUGGGAAACAGACAACAUGUUAGUCAGAGAGAGAGACGACUCCCCUGGGAAACAGACAACAUGUUAGUCAGAGAGAGAGACGACUCCCCUGGGAAACAGACAACAUGUUAGUCAGGUAGAGAGAGACGACUCCCCUGGGAAACAGACAACAUGUUAGUCAGAGAGAGAGACGACUCCCCUGGGAAACAGACAACAUGUUAGUCAGGUAGAGAGAGACGACUCCCCUGGGAAACAGACAACAUGUUAGUCAGAGAGAGAGAGACGACUCCCCUGGGAAACAGACAACAUGUUAGUCAGGUAGAGAGACGACUCCCCUGGGAAACAGACAACAUGUUAGUCAGAGAGAGAGACGACUCCCCUGGGAAACAGACAACAUGUUAGUCAGGUAGAGAGAGACGACUCCCCUGGGAAACAGACAACAUGUUAGUCAGGUAGAGAGACGACUCCCCUGGGAAACAGACAACAUGUUAGUCAGAGAGAGAGAGACGACUCCCCUGGGAAACAGACAACAUGUUAGUCAGGUAGAGAGACGACUCCCCUGGGAAACAGACAACAUGUUAGUCAGGUAGAGAGACGACUCCCCUGGGAAACAGACAACAUGUUAGUCAGGUAGAGAGACGACUCCCCUGGGAAACAGACAACAUGUUAGUCAGAGAGAGAGACGACUCCCCUGGGAAACAGACAACAUGUUAGUCAGGUAGAGAGACGACUCCCCUGGGAAACAGACAACAUGUUAGUCAGGUAGAGAGACGACUCCCCUGGGAAACAGACAACAUGUUAGUCAGGUAGAGAGAGACGACUCCCCUGGGAAACAGACAACAUGUUAGUCAGAGAGAGAGACGACUCCCCUGGGAAACAGACAACAUGUUAGUCAGGUAGAGAGAGACGACUCCCCUGGGAAACAGACAACAUGUUAGUCAGGUAGAGAGACG